rnacentral:rRNA from 1 species
GACGAACGCUGGCGGCGCGCUUAACACAUGCAAGUCGAGCGAGAACCAGGGCUUCGGCCCUGGGGACAGCGGCGAACGGGUGAGUAACACGUGGGUAAUCCACCCUCGGCACCGGAAUAGCCCGGGGAAACCCGGAUUAAUGCCGGAUGGCCCGCCGGCCCUGCGGGGCUGGUGGAAAAGGUAGCUUCGGCCUCCGGCCGAGGACGAGCCCGCGACGGAUUAGCUUGGUGGUGGGGUAACGGCCUACCAAGGCUGCGAUCCGUAGCUGGUCUGAGAGGACGAUCAGCCACACGGGGACUGAGACACGGCCCAGACUCCUACGGGAGGCAGCAGUGGGGAAUCUUGCGCAAUGGGCGAAAGCCUGACGCAGCGACGCCGCGUGAGGGAAGAAGGCCUUCGGGUUGUAAACCUCUUUCAGGAGGGACGAAGCCACUCGGGUUAAUAGCCCAGAGGGUGACGGUACCUCCAGAAGAAGCCCCGGCUAACUACGUGCCAGCCGCCGCGGUAACAC